rnacentral:rRNA from 1 species
AUUGAACGCUGGCGGCAGGCCUAACACAUGCAAGUCGAACGAGUGGCGGACGGGUGAGUAGUGUCUGGGCAACUGCCUGAUGGAGGGGGAUAAGUAGUGGAAACGGUAGCUACUACCGCAUACCAUCAGAUGUGCCCAGAUUGGCUUAGCUAGUUGGUGGGGUAACGGCUCACCAAGGCGACGAUCCCUAGCUGGUCUGAGAGGAUGACCAGCCACACUGGAACUGAGACACGGUCCAGACUCCUACGUGAGGCAGCAGUGGGGAAUAUUGCACAAUGGGCGCAAGCCUGAUGCAGCCAUGCCGCGUGUGUGAAGAAGGCCUUCGGUUUGUAAAGUACUUUCAGCGGGGAGGCGUUACCCGCCGAAGAAGCACCGGCUAACUCCGUGCCAGCAGCCGCGGUAAUAC